ensembl:lncRNA
AGGCUGUGGAGGGCACACCUGAGUUUACCUGGCCCAGCCACCUGGCUCAUGGCCGCCCUCGGAGAUGUGGUAUCCUUUCUAACCUUCAUUUCCUCACAGCCUUGAAGAGGUGCAGGUGGUGGGUGGCACCUGCCAGAGCCUCCAGGGAAAGAACCACCCCAGCCAGUCCAAGGCCCAGGAAUGGUGUCAUUGCGGGUUCCACAUCUGGCUGGUUACCAUGGAAAUAUGCAAGAAGACGAGAAGACUGCACACAUGAGAACUUCUCUUAGGGUGAGCCCUGCCUGUGGUUCAGAGGAAGCCUUGGACAAGACGCUUGGGGAAGCCCCCGUGAAUCACACUUGGCCCUGGCAGGUGGCGGGGGGAGAUUCCUCAGGCCUCUGGUCUCUCCGAGUGCUCUGCUUCCCUUUCUUCCUUCCUCCCACUCUGCUCUCAGCCCCUCCCCACCGCACACAUAUUGAACCAAUAUUAAAAAAACAUCCAGUGUCCCCAAUUCUUCAUUUCCCCAGAGGCCCUAUCCUUAGCCACACUGGGCCAUGCAUGUCC